UACUCACUAUCAGAAGUUCUCUGUUUUGAAAAAAGAAUAACUGAUGUGAUAAAUUUAUGUAAUUUAACAAUUAAUCUACCUCACGUGCUUGUAGGUAUGUAUUCAUUUCGUACCACCGUAGUGGAAGAGAGACUAUCCCUAUCAAUACACCUGGUAACAUUCCCAACAGUAAGUCGUGAGAUUCUGCUUGAAAUCACCUCUCAGACAAAUAAAAAACAGUCCUGGGAAAUGUACGACACUCAUUCUGCUAAAGAAAUAGGCAUCAUAGCUGGGGAACAGAUUCAAAAGACCCAGGCUGUUCCCUACAUAUGUUUCCUCCUCAGACAUCAGUUAAUCAGUCAAUCAAGUCAAGUGAGAGUGGAGGCCAUGUAUUCCCUCUUAUUCUUGGGCACUCUCCUCCAAGGAGGAAAAGGCCAGGAGGUCCUGUUAGAGGAUGCACUCAGAGCCCGGGCUCCCUAAGGUAUGAGAGUUCUAACCAGCAGGUGUAGACUUUUCAGGAGUGAGGAAUGAGGCAGGCAUUCCAAACCUGGAGCUUCAUCACCUUUUGUUUCAUCUCAAGACAAUUCUGAGGGGCUGUUUUGGAGCGUGUCUGGAAGGUGAACGUUGAAGAAGAGUGUGGGCUUUGAUGUGACUCAGAUGAGAUCUUUCAUGGGGAGGCAGGAAUUCAAUGCCCAGAAUCUGGGCUGGUGUCUUUGAGGUCAGUAGGUUGCCUCUUUGUAUCCAAGUCCAUUGUUACUAAAUUGGAGGCUGGAGAUUCUAAAUGGCUUCCAGACCAUCUCUCUGAUUCUCUUUGGGAGAUUGGGUCUGAAAAAGACAAUGUCAGUAUUUUUGGGAAAUUCUAGAAAGUCUGCUUGGAAACCUGGGAAGACCUCUUGCCUAGUGCCUAAAUAUUCAAUGUGCAGCUCUAGCCAUGUAGAUGCUUGGUAGGUAUAGAGCUGGGUUUUCAUUUAUAUCAGCAAAACCUAUGUCAGAGUUGAAGAAGUAGUCAAGACAAAGUGUCUUGGUCGCAGGCCGGGGAACAUCUUAAAAGCAAACUUCUAGCCUGAUGACUCUUGGCAAUGAGUGUUGGGUCCUGGCUAAAGUGCCUUGAAUGCAGCAUGAGGCCAAUCCAUGAAUCCAACUUCCAAUGGAGAAAUGUUAAUAUUUUUUCAGUUUGAAUCAAUCAGGGUGAAAUUACCUUGCUAUUGGUUUGCUUACUUUUUAUUAUUUCAUAUAAAAUCUAAGACAAAAUACAUUAAAUGCUUAUUGAUAUAUGUAUUUAUUCUUCACCUGGCUCAUAAUAUUUGCCUAAUUUUAAACUUUCUUCUAUUUUGUAGGUUUCAACUUAUUUCAUUGUAAGAUAUUGUUAAAUCUAAUACGGGCAUUGUCACUUUUACAAAUAAUUUUAUUUUAUUUCAUGUAUUUCCUAUUCACUUUUUACAUUUAAAUUAUGGACCAUUUCAUCAUAUAAAAAGCUCCAUUUCUAUUU
ensembl:lncRNA novel transcript